rnacentral:rRNA from 1 species
UACCUACGGGAGGCAGCAGUGAGGAAUAUUGGUCAAUGGACGCAAGUCUGAACCAGCCAUGCCGCGUGCAGGAUGACGGCUCUAUGAGUUGUAAACUGCUUUUGUACGAGGGUAAACCCCGAUACGUGUAUCGGGUUGAAAGUAUCGUACGAAUAAGGAUCGGCUAACUCCGUGCCAGCAGCCGCGGUAAUACGGAGGAUCCGAGCGUUAUCCGGAUUUAUUGGGGUUAAAGGGUGCGAAGGCGGUUUGAUAGGUUAGAGGUGAAAUGCAGGGGUUCAACCCAGAAACGGGCUCUAAAACUGUUG